CGCUGAAGCACCAGCUUGCUGGUGUGGAUGAGUGGCGAACGGGUGAGUAAUACGUGAGUAACCUGCCCUUGACUCUGGGAUAAGCCCGGGAAACUGGGUCUAAUACUGGAUGCUACAUGUCACCGCAUGGUGGUGUGUGGAAAGGGUUUACUGGUCUUGGAUGGGCUCACGGCCUAUCAGCUUGUUGGUGAGGUAAUGGCUCACCAAGGCGACGACGGGUAGCCGGCCUGAGAGGGUGACCGGCCACACUGGGACUGAGACACGGCCCAGACUCCUACGGGAGGCAGCAGUGGGGAAUAUUGCACAAUGGGCGAAAGCCUGAUGCAGCGACGCCGCGUGAGGGAUGACGGCCUUCGGGUUGUAAACCUCUUUCAGCAGGGAAGAAGCCACAAGUGACGGUACCUGCAGAAGAAGCGCCGGCUAACUACGUGCCAGCAGCCGCGGUAAUACGUAGGGCGCAAGCGUUGUCCGGAAUUAUUGGGCGUAAAGAGCUCGUAGGCGGUUUGUCGCGUCUGCUGUGAAAGCCCGGGGCUUAACCCCGGGUGUGCAGUGGGUACGGGCAGACUAGAGUGCAGUAGGGGAGACUGGAAUUCCUGGUGUAGCGGUGGAAUGCGCAGAUAUCAGGAGGAACACCGAUGGCGAAGGCAGGUCUCUGGGCUGUUACUGACGCUGAGGAGCGAAAGCAUGGGGAGCGAACAGGAUUAGAUACCCUGGUAGUCCAUGCCGUAAACGUUGGGCACUAGGUGUGGGGGACAUUCCACGUUUUCCGCGCCGUAGCUAACGCAUUAAGUGCCCCGCCUGGGGAGUACGGCCGCAAGGCUAAAACUCAAAGGAAUUGACGGGGGCCCGCACAAGCGGCGGAGCAUGCGGAUUAAUUCGAUGCAACGCGAAGAACCUUACCAAGGCUUGACAUAUACCGGAUCGUUCCAGAGAUGGUUCUUCCCCUUUGGGGUCGGUAUACAGGUGG
rnacentral:rRNA from 1 species